GCUUCUGCGCACCUUGGGGAAGGACCCUUCUGUGGGACGCAAUAGAGGGGAUAGUCAAUGAGCUCAGCCAGUUCUGAGUUCUGAGAACUGUCUGGCAAAGCAGGUGCAGAGCAAAGCGUGGCUUAGGAGACGGGCUGCGCUUGGGGUCACAUGCUAGCUAAGUUCCUUCAUUCCCCUGAGGUUGACUUUCUGUAAAGUAGGGAAACUGCAAAGGCUCUCUGAGGGCAGAGGCCUUGGCUGUUUUUCUUGAUUUUGAACCCACGGUGCCUGUCCACGUGUAGAUACUCAGAACCGGUGGGCUGAAUGUACAGCCGAGGCAUUUUUACCAGAAGUCGGUUUUUCUGUGGACUCUGGGUGGGGACAGAUGGAAUCUGCCUGUGAAGUGAUGAUGGCUCUCAGGGUCCUGGGUACCCUUCUCUUCCCUGGGGGGUGAGCCCCCCUCUGGAGAUCUGGCAGCUAACACGCUGACGUGGGCUCACCUGCCCUUUUUUGCACCUGUAUUCGAAAGUGAUCGUGGGCUGCCUGUGCCCUGGUCAUUGAUAGUGCAGGGAGAGAAAUCGCGGAAAGUGCUUCCCCGUGUUUGGAGGGUCCACUCCUGUCCCUUUCAAACUCUGGAGCUUUCUCACACCUCCUUCUCACCAUCUUUCAAAUGCCUCCUGGCACUUGGUGUCUUAUUAGUGAGUGCUCCCUGUGCAAGGCUCAGUGCAGGGGUCCGUGAGGCGUUCACCAAGGUGUAUGAGGGGUGAGUCCCUGCCUCAGGAUUGGUGGUGGAACCACAGCUGCAGCCCCCACUAGUCACACCCUGUGGCAAUUACUGGCUUGAUUGUCUUUGCCUCUCUCUAUUGUGACCUUGAGGACAGUGUCUUGAGUUUUGUUUAAUAUUUUAUUGUAUUUUUUUAGAGACAGGAUCUCACUCUGUUGUCCAGGCUGGGGUGCAGUGUGCAGUGGCGUGAUCAUAGCUUGAACUCCUGUACUCAAGUGAUCCUCGCACCUCAGCCUCCCAAAUAGCUGGGACAGACAGGGUCUCGCUAUGUUGCUCAGGCUGGUCCUGAACUCCUGGCUUCAAGUGAUUUUCCCUCAGUCUUCCAAAGUGCUGGAAUUACAGGUGUGAGCCACUUUGCCUGUCUCAGUGUCCGAGUCCUGUCUCUUGACUUACCUGGUGCUUGGUAGAUGGUUGAUUUUCAGCAGUUAUGGAACAAAUGAAAAACAGGAGAUGGGCCAGGUGCGAUGGCUCACACCUGUAAUCCCAGCACUCUGAGAGGCCAAGGAGGGUGGAUCACUUGAGGCCAGGAGUUCAAGACCAUCCUGGCCAACAUGGUGAAACCCCAUCUCUACUAAAAAAUACAAAAAUUACCUGGGUGUGGUGGCACACGCCUAUAAUUCCAGCUACUCAGGAGGCUGAGGCACACCAGAAUCGCUUGAACCUGGGAGGUGGAGGUUGCAGUGAGCCAAGAUCAUGCCCCUGCACUCCAGCCUAGGCGACAGAGUGAGACUAUGUCCCUAACAAAAAACAAAAAACAGGAGCCGGAAAAAGACAAUUGUGGCUGGUCAUGGUGGCUCACACCUGUAAUCCUAGCACUUUGGGAGACUGAGGUGGGUGGAUCGCUUGAGCCCAGGAGUUUAAGACCAACCUGGGCAAUAUGGCAAAAACCUGUCUCUACAACACACACACACUAGCCAGGUGUGGUGGCAUGCGCCAGGAGGUGGAGGUUGCAGUGAGCCGAGAUUGUGCUACUGCAUUCCAGCCUGGGCUGCAGAGUCAGACCUUGUCUUUAAACAACAACAACAAAAAAGACUUCAGUUGUAAGGUGACAGGGCUUAGCACAUUGAUGCAUGUCAGGGAAGUAGUUUUGAGCAAGGCAGCCUGUGUGGGGGUGGUCAGAGCUAUUUCCCACUGGCCCAUUGGUCAUCCCAUGGUGUUCCCCUUGACGGUCUUGUCCGUGGGCCACCAGGAUUAAUUUCCCCACAGCAUUGUCGUUGUGAUGUCAGUGACCAAAGCCAGAGGUAUAGCUAGGCAUGGCUGAUAGAAGAGUGAGAUGUGUAAUCAGCCCUGACCCGCAGAUGACAGAUGGGUCAUCCUGCCCAUAAUAGCCCUUACUGUGUAUGCUAGACUGCGCCACGCUGGUGUGCCACACCAGAACCUGUCCUAGGUUCAGAGUCCCCUUCAGUGUACUGCUUCAGGAUCACAAAUUCAACAAUAUGUGCAUAAGAUGAGACUUAAGCUGUCCCUGAUGUCUGGUUCUUCUCUAGAUGAACUCUUCGUGUUGCUGAGACCGUAGACCACUGUUAACACUAGCCAACUUUUAGGAAAUGUUUACCACCUGGUUGCUUCUGUGCCAGUACUCUCCUUGUCCUUUCCAGAACGGGUUUGACCAGGUGAUGUCUAGAUAGCUCAUCCAGGGCUUCUUGAUUCUGGCAGAGGAGGCUGAUUGGUGCAGAGAGGCCCAUGAGAGGUAUCUUCACCCUGCCAGGAAGCAGGUGGACCAUGGUGUUCUAUGAGAUCUGUCCUCUGGAGAUCUGGGGCUUUGUGUCCCACAAGGGUGGGUGCAUGCAGGUUCCCUGGGCGUGAUGUCUGGGAAGUAGAGAGAGGUGAGGUAAGAGUGUCUUUGUGCUGGCCCCAGUUUUACCCUCUUUGGGGCCAUCAUGAUGAAUACAUUGGGUUCCUCUUGUGCCUGCUUGGGUUUAGCAUCUUUAGGGAUCCCUUAUCAUUGUUGUGUCUUGGAAUAUCUGACUCAAAAGCUGGAGGGCUUUGGCAUCAAACCUACCUGUACCCUGGUCCCAAACACUUUACCACUACUCCCUAGCUUUGGUUCUUUUUGUGAUCUUCAGUUUUCUCAUCUGGAAAACAGGAGUACACUGAGGUGAUUUUUCUUAGGAUCACACCGUCCCUGUGUUCCACGUCCGAAGAAGUCUGCCAACUUUCUCAUCUGAAGGGUCUUUCCUUUACUUCUCCUUGUUGGGGCAGGUUCCGUUUAUGUGGGACAAGAUGGAAGCUGCUUCAUCCUGUGCUCUGCUGUGCCACUGUCCUGGCUCAGGCCAUUUUUCAGGCUUCUGACACUGGUCUCCAAUUUCAACAAGCCCUGGAUCUCUCUGCCCCUGUGUGCAAAAUGAUUACAGGCUGCUUGUGUCUUGGUUAUUGGUAAUAAAGGAAAAGUUACAAGGUUUUCCUCUUGUGUAGAGGCACCAUUGUCCAUUUCAGACGGGAUGACCUCAGGGGACUGUGUCAGUGACCAGGAUGGGCUAGACAAGCUGUCAGUACAUUCACCUCCUGAGACACUGAUUCCCCUGGAGUGUCACAUGACUGCCGCCCCAUGUGUGUGAGAGGUGUCCUCUGGGAGAGCACGGAUCCUGAGGUCCCAGGAUUGUCAGCUGACCUCUGUCCUGUGUGCCCAGUGGCUCCAGGUGACGUGUCUUCAAGAAGAGGCUGAGCUGCAGUGCUUGUAAGAUGGGUCCGCUGUGUGCAGAGGCUCCAUGGGAUGUGUUGUCUUCAUAGCAGCAGGGCGCUGGACCAUGGGUCCGCAAGGUGGGAUUUUUGGACUGUUGUCUGGAAUAUGUUUCUUUGCAUCCUGCAGAGUCAUGUGCUGUUCCUGGGGCUUGGAUGAUGUAGGGGAAGCAAGGUGAAAGUGGUAUCCCGUGGUUCCACGUUCUGUCCUGCCGUGGGGCUGUCGCUCACAUGCCUUCAGUGGCUGUUGCAGAGGAAGAGCCUCCGGAAAUCUGCGUGGGUCUCAGCCUUAGAUCCAAGGACAGUCCAAGGAAGUCCUAAGACCAUGGAGUUGGUGAUCUGGGAUCUGGGUUUGCUGAUAUUUCUCACCAUGAAUCUCUUGGUGGUGUUUGUGGGCACGAGAGGGGCAGAGAAUGGAGAGUGAGGCUACCACAUGAAGCGUCACCAGAGCUGCUCCCUGCUGCCUGCUCAGAGCACCCCGGAUCCACUGUUCAAUCUGCACAAGAUUUGGGGUCCAGACAUGGGAGACUUCAGCUGCCUCAGAGGACCGUGGACAGGGAAGGCCAGCCUCGCAUCCCUCUGUCCAUGCCUGGAAUAACUUUAAUAACCAAGAGUUUUAUUCUUGAAUUUGUAGCUGUCGUUCACUUUUUACCCACCCAUUCAAUAAACCUUACAGAAUUGCUCCA